CUCCUCUCAGGAUCACACCUGCAGAGUUUCCAGUACUCUAUCAGUCUCGGUCACAGGAGGGAGAGUCAAACAAGGGGAUACCCAUUCCAUUCCUAGCUUGGGCAGUGGCUAGCGAGCGGAAGGUAAUCUGCUACAAGU